rfam:Dipodomys ordii contig_60115, whole genome shotgun sequence.
GGGAAGGUGGCUCAGUGGUAGAGUGCUUGCCUUGCAUGCAUGAAGCCCUGGGUUCGAUUCCUCAGCACCCCA